AUGCUCUUGCCCUGCGGGUGCAGUUGGAGUGCCAGCAUGCGGGCAUUAGGCCGGGGGGACCACAGCCUCUCCGGUCCUCAGCUGUCCCUCUGUCCCCUUCCCUUCCUGGCCCCCGAGGAGGCUGAGAAGCAGAUUCUCCCUUCUGAGGGUCGGUUAAAGCUCAAAACCAGAGGCCUCCGUGGACCCCCACCUGUUUUUCCAAGCCCACCGUCCCUCCACCUCAUCUUCCGCCGUCCCAUUGCCCGCCAGCUCGUCAUUCAGCAUGGAUUUCCUGAGCCACCCCCAGGCACCAGCACCAUGGCUCAGGCGAUGUGCAGACAACAAAGAAAGAAUCACACACUCACUCCCUGUCAAGUCCUCCCGGGCGCCUGGACUCAGCCGUGGGUGAGUCAGUCUCAGCCCUCAGGGGCCACCUCAUGGGGGAGGGUUGGGCAGCUCCUCAUGGGGGAGGGUUGGGCAGCUCUCCCCCAGGCUCUGGCCGCUGUGGGGGUCGGGAGGAGGAGGCAGCUGGGGGAAGCCCUGCACCGUGUGGUGUGUGAGGUCCUUGUGUGGUGUCUCCCCUGGCCUGUGUGUCUCACAGAGACGCUCUCCACCCACUGCGGGCAGGGCCUCCCCCAUGCCAUGGCCAAGCCAGGCUGGGAACUCAGUAGGCGCCCCUUGGAUAGCGAGCGCCAGGCUGGCUGAGUCACCCUCCCUCGUCCUCCUCCGGCCAGCCCUGCUUUGCCGUUGGCUCCUCCACCCCAGCCUCCCUGGCCCGACUCGCUCGUCUGCCCUCUCUAAGUCCACUCUCAGCUCAGGCCCUGCACGGGCUCUGGUUCUGCAGGGGGAGAUCAGGGUAGCUUUGGAGGGCCAGCCGGGUCGGCCAAAGAGCUGGCUCAGCAGCUCUGGCGAGGUGGACGAGGACCCUGACCAGGAAAUGGACACACAGCCUCAAAGGACCAAGGACAGGCCACCUCCCAGGUUUCCUGCCCCCUUCUCCCAGGGGCCGGGGACGCUCGCCUGGCUCUCUAGUGAGGAAAGGCCUGAUGGCUCCUCAGACGCCCCAGCACAGACACCGUCUGGGCUCCUGGGGUGCACAGUAGCCUGGGGCCCCCAAAGGGUCAGCUGAGGCUGGCGGGCAGUGGGUGGCAUGCAGGUGACCUGGGAGGAUGGGAAGGUCUCAAGUCGUGCUAAUCAGAAUCGGGGUGUGUCAGGCCCCAGCCCUCACUCCCCAGGCCAGCUGGGGGCAGACCCAGGUCCUGGGGAUCCCAUGAAGCUCAGAGGUCCCCGACUUCACACCAGCAGGUCACCCAGGAAACCAAAGGAUCAGGGUGAGUGUCUGAGGGAACACCUUUUAGGAGUGAUUUCAUCAAAGAGGGCCCCAGGCUGUGACCCCGCAUCCUUGCAACAGAUGCGCUGGCAGUCUGGAACAGAUUCAGGUCAGUUUCGUAAGCCACUGGGGCAAAUUCCCAGCAAAGAUAAAGCAAGGUGGCCCUGCCAGCUGGAAGCUGACCCCGAACCCCAAGCCUGACUUUUCUGCCCAGCGCGAUCCCAGCUGCCUGGGGCCCUUGUCACUGGGCUUUGGGUUCUGGAGCUGGUCCCUGAGGCAUCCUCUUGGAAGUGGGGGAGGCCCAGCAGCCAGUGGGAGGGUGGCCAGAAGGGACCUUGGGGUGCUUGCAGCUCUGACCACAGUGCCCCGCGCUGAAGCCGACCCCUGCCCCACUGCCCGGAACAAAGCGAGUGCUCAGACUUGCAUGGGAUUUGGAGGACACGUCUUAGCCCCAGAGCAUGUCCAGCAGGGCUCUGUAUCAGCAGGGCCGGCCCUGAUGGCUAUCUGGAGACUUGUGACACAAGGGAGCGUGAGCCCAGCUCAGCAAUAUCAGCUGACUUAACCUCAGAUGAAAGGAAACACGCGGGCAGCCGGAUCUAGGUCCGGGGUGGGGCGGGGUGAGUGUGGGGUGAGGCUCCGCGGGCCCAGCCCCGGAUGACCGGGCCCUGACCCAGGGCCCCAGCUGGUCUGCUUUCCGGGAGCCCUGCUGCCAGCCCCCAGGUCCCACUGCUCUGGGCAGCCUUCGGGAGUGGGGUGGGGUGUCCCCUUUGCCCACGUGGUCCCUAAAGGGCUUGUGUGCCCCACCUGUGGACACAUGGCCAGACACGCGUGUGCGAUACACGUGUGUGCCGUACCCCCCAAGGGUGCCCACACAACGCACCCCACUCCCAGCGCGUACCUGGGACAGGAGGGCGGCGGCUGCCUGGACCUCGGGCUGCAUGGGACCCUCCGCAGGGGGCCACCAGCUGAGCCGCAGGGCUCGACCCCAGGGCUGGGACCGCCUGGGCCGGCCAGCUGCUCAGUGAGCAUCUGGCAGUCCCCGGGGGCAGCGGGGAGACAGAUGCCCCUGCCUCCGCCCGGCCUCGGGUGCUGUGGGCUCGGGGUCCUUGGUCUCCCCUGCCCAAGAAGGAGGGAGAGGAGGCAGGUGAGAGGCCGAGUCCCGGGCCGGCGGGCCCCCCUGCAGCACAGCCCGCCCCGUCCUCAUCCCCUAGUCCUCCUCCCCUCUCUCCCUGCCGCUGACCCCGGGCCUAGGGCGGCCCUCAGGGCUUUGCGGGAGGGAAGGGGUGAGUGGACACUCCAGCUGUGGGGCUGGAGUGGGGUCCCAGCUGGGCAGCUCUGGGGGCAGAUUCCUGGCCUGGACUCUGACCACUCCCCCCACCCCAGCCUCAGUUUCUCUCUGUGUCCCUGACAACCUCUGGGCUUCUUGCACAUCUGGCCCGGUGUGGGUCUAGGGAGCUGAGGGGUCUUGGCCAAGAGCUGCUGAAGGAAGGCGAGUGUGGUGUUUCCAGAAUAUUCUGAGGCCCAGAGAUGGCCCAUGGUGCCUGAGAAGCAGGGAGGGGGCCUCUGGGUCCGCACCCAGCCAGGUGGGCCCGUCAGCUUCUGCCUCCAGAAGCCCAGGGUGUGAAAGGAGGGGUCCCUGGGGAGGCAGGGGGCUUUCCUUGCUGUGGGGGGGGGUCCUGGAGGGCAGCUGGGGAGCCCAUGGCUGAGCCAGGCCCCCUGAGAGCCCAGGCCUGUGUUUCCUGGGGGCUGGCCCUGCCCCUCCCCGGCCCCAGCCCCCCGCCCACCCUCUGAGCCCCUCCUCACCUGAGCCACAGCCCUGCUUCACGCACCCACUUCCCUCUCCCCCACCCCCCAGUUCUUCUGACCUUCCCAGGCCCCCCAACUCCUCUGAGCUUUCGGGAAACUUGCGGGGACCCCUUGUUGUCUGGCCUCCCAUUCAGUCCAACGUCCCACGCUGGGGCCAGGACCCCCAGAACUGGCUCCCCAACUCCCAGGUGCUUGGGUGGCUACUGAUUAUAAUUUCAGAAUACGGAGACCUGCACGGAGUAAAGCUCACAGUCCGGAGCCUGAAUCCGCCGGCGGCGCAACAGGGGCCAGUUCAGAGCAGGCUGGUCUCGUCUCCUCCGGCCACCGCCCUCCCUCCCGGUCACUUGCAGGCAAUCCCCUGACUCCGCGUCAUCUGCCCCGGAGCCUCAGUACACAGGGCAUGUGGGGCCUCGGUGACCCUGAGGUCCAGUGCGUGCCCAGGAGGAAGGGCAAGCACUCAACUCUGUCCCUUUCUGAUUUAUUUUAUUCCUUUUCAGAAUAAUGAGCCCUAGCCUCCGACCAAGGCCCAGUGAGAAUUCUGUAGUAUUCUUUUAAAUAAAAUGGAUUUUAAAGAUAUUUGGUACA
rnacentral:lncRNA from 1 species